rnacentral:rRNA from 1 species
UGAUCCUGACGCUAGAUCAGUCAAUAUGCUUGUCCUCAAAGAUUAAGCUGCACUCGCAUACAGUAUGCACAAGCCAUUUACAGGCGAUACACCGCAAUGGCUCUAUUCCACUCAAAGCUCACGCCUAUGAUUCAUGUGUGACUAUCCAUCUACUACUUGGAUUACUCCACUGUCGCGCUAACUCUACUUCUAGAGCUACAAAGUAUACAUUGCACUCCACGUCCUGGACUCCAUCGCGAAGGAAGAUGCAGCUUUUUAUUCACGUUCAAGGGACACCGGAGGUCGGGCCUCGUCCGUCACGCCCCACCUAUACUCUGCAUUGAACAAUUAGAAUAACUACUUGUCGCUGAGCGCACGUCUCCUCGCACCGGCGCCGCCCUCUUUCAAGUGUCUGCCUUAUCAGCUUUCGAUUGUAGGUUAUGCGCCUACAAUGGCUAUAACGGGUAACGGGGAAUCAGGGUUCGAUUCCGGAGAGGGAGCCUGAGAAACGGCUACCACAUCUAAGGAAGGCAGCAGGCACGCAAAUUACCCACUCCCGGCACGGGGAGGUAGUGACGAAAAAUAACGAUGCGAGACUCAUCCGAGGCCUCGCAAUCGGAAUGAGUACACUUUAAAUCCUUUAACGAGGAUCUAUUGGAGGGCAAGUCUGGUGCCAGCAGCCGCGGUAAUUCCAGCUCCAAUAGCGUAUAUUAAAGUUGUUGCGGUUAAAAAGCUCGUAGUUGGAUUUCAGUUCUGGACUGACGGUUCACCGCCCGGUGCAUACUGUCACGCUCCGAACAGCCACAACAGCCCGCUGGCUCGCACGGGGUGCUCUUCAUCGAGUGUCCCGCGUGGCCGGCAGAGUUUACUUUGAAAAAAUUAGAGUGCUCAAAGCAGGCUACACUUACGGCCUGAAUGCCUAUGCAUGGAAUAAUGGAUAGGACCUCGGUUCUAUUUUGUCGGUUUUCUGAACCCGAGGUAAUGACUAAUAGGAACAGGCGGGGGCAUUCGUAUUGCGACGCUAGAGGUGAAAUUCUUGGACCGUCGCAAGACGAACUACUGCGAAAGCAUUUGCCAAGGAUGUUUUCAUUAAUCAAGAACGAAAGUUAGAGGUUCGAAGGCGAUCAGAUACCGCCCUAGUUCUAACCAUAAACGAUGCUGACCAGCGAUCCGCCGGCGUUAUUCCCAUGACCCGGCGGGCAGCUUCCGGGAAACCAAAGUCUUUGGGUUCCGGGGGAAGUAUGGUUGCAAAAGCUGAAACUUGACGGAAGGGGCACCAGGAGUGGAGCCUGCGGCUUAAUUUGACUCAACACGGGGAACCUCACCAGGCCCAACACCGGAAGGAUUGACAGAUUGAGAGCUCUUUCUCGAUUCGGUGGGUGGUGGUGCAUGGCCGUUCUUAGUUGGUGGGAGCGAUUUGUCUGGUUAAUUCCGAUAACGAAACGAGACUCUGGCCUACUAACUAGUCGACGGAUCUCCAGCAAUUGGUGUCCAGUUCCGCACUCUUCUUUAGAGGGAUAAGCGGCAACUUUAGCCGUCAGCGAGAUUGAUCAAUAAAGGUCGUGAUAUAGCGAAGGAUGUUCUGCGAGCCUGCACCCGCGCAAUACACUGAGAGAAGGCACAAUCACGUUGACCAUCACCCUACACAAGGAGGGAGGGAGCGGAAGUAAAUUCUUUCCGUUGAAUUAUAUCCUCUCUUCAUGAUAGGGAAUUGGGUGUCUUUUGUUACUAAUUGCCUUUCUCCUAUUCUUGAACCGAGUUGCCAAUCUCACCGAGUAAGACAAGCAAAGACAUAGCUUUGCGUUGAUAUUUAUCGGCUCCCCUUCCAGCCACUUUGUACACACUCACUCGUUCACUCGUCGCUACUUGGAUCCCCAACCGUAUCUGAA